CGACGACUUUCGUAUAGGGUCCUCCGGCAUGAAGGUAGCACGAAGAAAGAUAACGUUGCUUUAGCAACGGCCCGCAGGGCGAGGCCCCGCCGAGUAAUCUUCCUGGGUGCACCA
rnacentral:sRNA from 1 species